rnacentral:rRNA from 1 species
GACGAACGCUGGCGGCGUGCCUAAUACAUGCAAGUCGAGCGAGACUCUUUGGAGUCUAGCGGCGGACGGGUGAGUAACACGUGGGCAACCUGCCUGUAAGACUGGGAUAACACCGGGAAACCGGUGCUAAUACCGGAUAAUCCUUUUCCUCUCAUGAGGAAAAGCUGAAAGUCGGUUUCGGCUGACACUUACAGAUGGGCCCGCGGCGCAUUAGCUAGUUGGUGAGGUAACGGCUCACCAAGGCGACGAUGCGUAGCCGACCUGAGAGGGUGAUCGGCCACACUGAGACUGAGACACGGCCCAGACUCCUACGGGAGGCAGCAGUAGGGAAUCUUCCACAAUGGACGAAAGUCUGAUGGAGCAACGCCGCGUGAGCGAUGAAGGCCUUCGGGUCGUAAAGCUCUGUUGUUAGGGAAGAACAAGUACCGGAGUAACUGCCGGUACCUUGACGGUACCUAACCAGAAAGCCACGGCUAACUACGUGCCAGCCGCCGCAGUAAAAC